rnacentral:lncRNA from 1 species
AAAAUGAAUUAAAAAUAUUUGCAUGCCAAUAAAUGAGACUUGGUUCGUCUUGGAGAUAGCAGGAGUGAUCGUCGGUUCGUAAGAUUGAGGACACAACCCAAAUCCAAACAAUACAAAUUAAACACUGUUUGCUAUUUUUAGCAAGCUUCAUGCUUUGACCUGACUUCGUGUUCUGGUGGUAGAAGUUUCAGAAAGCUUCCCUUAGCCACUGGCGGAGUAGGAGUAGGAGGGGGUCGAUCACAAGCCGAUCUCGUUGUUGUUUCCGGUGAAUCCGAUGAUCCACUAUCUAUGGAACGGUUUAAAAAUACAUAAAAAUUAGUAAAACAUGAUCAAAGGUUUUUGAUCUUUCAAGAGGCCAAAAAAAACAAAAUGGUGUUUACCGAAUAGUGAUUUGACC